CUCUGAACCCCUUGACCCACACACUUUUGCCGACAUGUGUCUAUAUAAGCUCUCCAUUCAAGGAAACAGCCGUGCCGGAGCUCUGGGAAUGAAGAGUGUGGUCGGUACAGCACAAUUGGUCCAGUACAAAACACUAUGUUCCUGACUACGCACCUGGGCUGCCGGCUCUGACCUUCUGCUAUCCUGACUAUGAGUUGCUGUAUCCCUCCUGUGCCUUGAAUCUCCUCAGCCACCUGUCUAGUCAACCUGGGUCCCUCCAGCCGUAGCAAGACCAUUCCGCUUUGCUGUUCCUGUCUUCUAAACUUCUGGGAACAUUAUGAAAAGGAAUCGUAGCUUUAACCAACCUUUGAGGAUGAGACAGGCGACUGUGGGACGAGUGUCAGGACAGGGAUUCGGAAACUGUGACUUCAUCUAAGGCCAAAUCCAUUAGUAACAGACAAUAGUUUGAUAACUAAAGAGUAUA